rnacentral:rRNA from 1 species
GAUGAACGCUAGCGGCAGGCCUAAUACAUGCAAGUCGAACGCUCAGUAGCAAUACUGGGAGUGGCGCACGGGUGCGUAACGCGUACACAAUCUACCUCUAAGCGGGGGACACCUCCUGGAAACGGGGAUUAAUACCGCAUAAUAUGCCGAAGUCGCAUGACUUUGGUAUUAAAGCAGCAAUGCACUUAGAGAUGAGUGUGCGUCCCAUUAGGUAGUUGGUGAGGUAACGGCUCACCAAGCCUAUGAUGGGUAGCCGGUCUGAGAGGAUGGUCGGCCACACGGGCACUGAGACACGGGCCCGACUCCUACGGGAGGCAGCAGUAAGGAAUAUUGGUCAAUGGUGGAAACACUGAACCAGCCAUGCCGCGUGGAGGAAUAAGGUCCUACGGAUUGUAAACUCCUUUGACGAGGAAGAAAAUGUUAGAUUUAUCUAAUUUGUACGGUACUCGUAGAAUAAGCACCGGCUAACUCCGUGCCAGCAGCCGCGGUAAU